CCUACGGGAUGCAGCAGUGGGGAAUAUUGCGCAAUGGGCGAAAGCCUGACGCAGCGACGCCGCGUGAGGGAUGAAGGUCUUCGGAUCGUAAACCUCUGUCAGCAGGGAAGAACGGUAACUGUGCUAAUCAGCAGUGAAUUGACGGUACCUGCAAAGGAAGCACCGGCUAACUCCGUGCCAGCAGCCGCGGUAAUACGGAGGGUGCGAGCGUUAAUCGGAAUUACUGGGCGUAAAGCGCUCGUAGGCGGUAUGUCAAGUCAAGGGUGAAAUCCCCGCGCUUAACGUUGGAACUGCCUUGGAAACUGGGCAACUGGAGUGUAUGAGAGGUUAGUGGAAUUCCAAGUGUAGGAGUGAAAUCCGUAGAUAUUAGGAGGAACAUCAGUGGCGAAGGCGACUAUCUGG
rnacentral:rRNA from 1 species